AACGAACGCUGGCGGCAUGCCUAACACAUGCAAGUCGAACGAGACCUUCGGGUCUAGUGGCGCACGGGUGCGUAACGCGUGGGAACCUGCCCUUAGGUUCGGAAUAACUCCCCGAAAGGGGUGCUAAUACCGGUUAAUGUCUUCGGACCAAAGAUUUAUCGCCUUUGGAUGGGCCCGCGUUGGAUUAGCUAGUUGGUAGGGUAAAAGCCUACCAAGGCGACGAUCCAUAGCUGGUCUGAGAGGAUGAUCAGCCACACUGGGACUGAGACACGGCCUAGACUCCUACGGGAGGCAGCAGUGGGGAAUAUUGGACAAUGGGCGAAAGCCUGAUCCAGCAAUGCCGCGUGAGUGAUGAAGGCCUUAGGGUUGUAAAGCUCUUUUACCCGGGAUGAUAAUGACAGUACCGGGAGAAUAAGCACCGGCUAACUCCGUG
rnacentral:rRNA from 1 species